rnacentral:rRNA from 1 species
UGGGGAAUAUUGCACAAUGGGCGCAAGCCUGAUGCAGCCAUGCCGCGUGUAUGAAGAAGGCCUUCGGGUUGUAAAGUACUUUCAGUCGGGAGGAAGGUGGUAAGGUUAAUAACCUUAUCAAUUGACGUUACCGACAGAAGAAGCACCGGCUAACUCCGUGCCAGCAGCCGCGGUAAUACGGAGGGUGCAAGCGUUAAUCGGAAUUACUGGGCGUAAAGCGCACGCAGGCGGUUGGUUGAGUCAGAUGUGAAAUCCCCGGGCUUAACCCGGGAAUUGCAUCUGAUACUGGUCAGCUAGAGUCUUGUAGAGGGGGGUAGAAUUCCAGGUGUAGCGGUGAAAUGCGUAGAGAUGUGGAGGAAUACCGGUGGCGAAGGCGGCCCCCUGGACAAAGACUGACGCUCAGGUGCGAAAGCGUGGGGAGCAAACAGG